rnacentral:rRNA from 1 species
AUUUCCUACGGGACGCAGCAGUGAGGAAUAUUGGUCAAUGGUCGGGAGACUGAACCAGCCAAGCCGCGUGAGGGAUGAAGGUACAGAGUAUCGUAAACCUCUUUUGUCAGGGAACAAAGGCGGGGACGCGUCCCCGGAUGAGUGUAACUGAAGAAAAAGCAUCGGCUAACUCCGUGCCAGCAGCCGCGGUAAUACGGAGGAUGCGAGAGGUAUCCGGAUUUAUUGGGGUUAAAGGGUGCGCAGGCGGUCUUGUAAGUCAGCGGGCAAAACCCGGGG